CCUUGAGCUAGGAUUGCUAGAAACAAACAACUGAUUUAGUCAAUCUAGUGAACCUAUCGAACAACUCAGUAAAGCUUGACUAGUUAAACAUCGAGCGACGCUAGUCACAUAGCGUUGAUUCACGUUCGAACUAUAUCAACAAGCGACGGCUGAGAUAUAGACUUAGAUCAAUAGGAUUUAUUCGCAUGAGGAAGCUUGAAUAUAUUGCAAUUAGAAUUUGUAUUCUAGGAUCGAAACCUUAGCAUCUAUAUCACUAUAAUCUCAAUUACCUGAAACCCUAGAUCUAGUUAUUUCUCAUAAUUGUUUACAACCUCAAAUCAAUCAAUCAAUCAACACUACAAGAAAUAUGAGUAUUGGUAGCAGUUCGCGGUAGCACUAAUUCACCAACUGCUAUUAAAAGUAGCAAUUUCGGACAACAACUUUAUCGUAGCACUAACUUAGUGCUAGGAUCAAAUUUUAUUAAAAAUAGAAACAAAAGACGUGGAUUUUGUUUAAGGUAAAAAUUUUGUGCUAAAAUUUUAAUUUUAUCCGCCAAAAAAAAAAAAAAAUACUUCGCAAAACACUUGCCCAAUUCAUUUCCCUUACUUCUCCGAAUACAUCACGGAAAAAACAAGACUACCAAAGCUCUCCCUUUUUUUCUUUUUUUUUUGAAACACACCAAAGCUCUCUGUAUUCGAAUCGUGAUAAACCUAAAAUCACAAAGUCACAAGAUCUACACACAGAGCUUGACUCAAAUCAACCUCUCACGAUUCAACCCUCUCUCUCUCUCUCUCUAGGCCGUGAUGAAAGCUUUGUCUACAACGCUUGACUCGAGUCAGAUUCGAGCCACAAUCAGAGAUGGCGAGUGACAAAUAGAGGUGGCGGAGCAGUGCCGGUGGCAAGUCGGAAGACGUCUGUCCUUCAUAAGCAGAGGACGAGAAGACGCUUCAAUGGACAACGACUCAGAUCUACUCCAUAUUCAGAUGGCUCAUCCGCCGCUGCAUCUCCGGCUUUGUCACUGCGUCUCCGUUGUGUCUCCGGCUUCGUCGCUGCGUCUCCGGACUAUCCCUCUCAGGUGGACCUUUGCUGUUAAUGGAGCUUGCGUUUUUGUUUAGAGGAGUUGGUGCUGAAGUUGUUUAGAGCACAAAUCAGAAACCAGUUGAAGCAGAUGAAGUGGUUAAUGUUUUGGAACACAAGAUGUUGGAUCGAGGAGUUUAGGUUUGAGAUUAGCUGCUGUUGAAUCUUAGGUUUUUGUUGUUGUUGUGUUGCUCUGUUCUGUGUUCUUCGCUUAGCAAUUGGCUUAUGGUUAAGUAUUUUUCUUGGUUUAAAGCUCGUGACUUUAGAAGAAGGGAAUCUGAGAUUCGUGAAGUAGUUUUUGGUUGUGUAUUGUUAGCACGCUGGUGAUGAUUACUGAUGGGUUUUCUACUUGGAUCUGCUUCUUGCUGGAGAUUAAGUUCUGAAAACGUAAACUUAUGUGUUGAUUUAUCAAGUUAUUUAGUUGGUGCUUAUGCUUUCCUAUCUUAGUCAACAGAUAUACAAAGUCGCUUCCGUAUAUCACUUUAUCAGCUGGUUUAGUUUAAGCUUGGUUUCUAGUACUUGAGUGGCUGGAACUUGUGGCGUAUAUGUUGAUUUGUGGAGUAGUAAUGAAGAUAGUCUAGAAAGUAACACUUGAAUGUCUUUGGCUAAUUGUGGAUGUUCUCUGAAUGUGUUUUAGGUGAAACUGAUCCAUUCUUCUAAGACUAUUGCUUACCUUCGGGAGUAGCUGUUUCACGACAUGGAGGAAGUGCUUGGAGGAACAAAACAUGGAGCUGCUGAAGACUAGUGGCAAAGUGAUUUUGCUAGUUUUGAAAGUUAUGUAGUAGGUUGAGUUAUUAGACGUGGUAUGUGUAUUUAAGAUAAGUUAUGCUGUACAAAAUUAUGUAGAAUAUUAUUCAAAUAAAUGAAAUAAAAUAGCAUUACAAAAUA